UACAGAGGUCUCAAGCGUUGUUCGGAUUCAUUGGGCGUAAAGGGUGCGUAGGUGGCGCCGUAAGUCGGGUGUGAAAUUUCGGAGCCUAACUCCGAAACUGCAUUCGAUACUGCGGUGCUUGAGGACUGGAGAGGAGACUGGAAUUCAUGGUGUAGCAGUGAAAUGCGUAGAGAUCAUGAGGAAGACCAGUGGCGAAGGCGGGUCUCUGGACAGUUCCUGACACUGAGGCACGAAGGCCAGGGGAGCAAACGGG
rnacentral:rRNA from 1 species